rnacentral:rRNA from 1 species
GACGAACGCUGGCGGCGUGCCUAAUACAUGCAAGUAGAACGCUGAAGGAGGAGCUUGCUUCUCCGGAUGAGUUGCGAACGGGUGAGUAACGCGUAGGUAACCUGCCUGGUAGCGGGGGAUAACUAUUGGAAACGAUAGCUAAUACCGCAUAACAGUAGAUAUUGCAUGAUAUCUGCUUGAAAGGUGCAAUUGCAUCACUACCAGAUGGACCUGCGUUGUAUUAGCUAGUUGGUGGGGUAACGGCUCACCAAGGCGACGAUACAUAGCCGACCUGAGAGGGUGAUCGGCCACACUGGGACUGAGACACGGCCCAGACUCCUACGGGAGGCAGCAGUAGGGAAUCUUCGGCAAUGGACGGAAGUCUGACCGAGCAACGCCGCGUGAGUGAAGAAGGUUUUCGGAUCGUAAAGCUCUGUUGUAAGAGAAGAACGAGUGUGAGAGUGGAAAGUUCACACUGUGACGGUAGCUUACCAGAAAGGGACGGCUAACUACGUG